GUCACUUCUCAGCCUUUUGGCUAAGAUCAAGUGUAUCUGUUCUUACAGUUUUAAAUAAUCAGAAGAUAACUAUUUCAUGACACCUGAAAAUCAGAUGAAAUGAAAUUCAAGUCUUCACUGUUCAUAGAUAAAAUCUGGUUGAACACAGCCACAAACAUUCAUUUACAUGUAUGUGACUGACUGGCUGCUUUCA